rnacentral:rRNA from 1 species
GAUGAACGCUGGCGGCGUGCUUAACACAUGCAAGUCGAACGGAAAGGCCCUGCUUUUGCGUGGUUCCCGAGUGGCGAACGGGUGUGUAACACGUGAGUAUCCUGCCCUUUACUGUGUGAUAUCUUCAGGAGACUGCGGCUAAUACCGCAUAGGAGCUCCUGCUGCAUGGGGGUGGUUGGAAAGUUUCGGCGGUGGUGGAUGGACUCGCGGCUUAUGAGCUUGUUGGUGGGGUAGUUGCUUACCAAGCCUUUGACGGGUAGCCGGCAUGAGAGGGUGACCAGGGACAAUGGGACUACGAUACGGACCAGACUCCUACGGGAGGCAGUGGUGGGGAGUAUUGCACAAUGGGGGGAAGCCUGAUGCAGAAACCCCGCGUGCGGGAUGACGGCUUUCGGGUUGUAAACCGCUUUCGCCUGUGACGAAGCGUGAGUGACGGUAAUGGGUAAAGAAGCACCGGCUAACUACGUG